GAUCUGGGGAGUGGCCAGCAGUGUACUUGGUCUCCACUGAGGGGUGAGCUCGGAAGAGGUGAUGGGGCAGGGUCUGCUUACCUGAGGUAGGAGAUGACGCCCAUGGCCCUGCAAGAAUGAAAACACCCCAUUUGUGAGUUACACCAGGCCUGUCCCACAGGCAAGGGGUAUGCACGGGGGGUGGGGUUGGGGGGUGGGGGUGGCUGGAAGAGGAGGCAGAGGCUCCUCAGCUGCCAGACAGACACACGAAGGACAGGGAGGCUCCAGAUCAACAGCCCUCUAGGUGGGCCAUCCACUCACCAGAUGUCUGAGCCCUCGCUCACAGGAUUCUGCUCAAUGAUCUCUGGGGACACGAAUUCGGGUGAGCCAUACUUGCUGUACUGUGGCUCUGAAGGGGUGAUCUUUUGGGCAAAGCCAAAGUCACAGAUCUUGAUGUCUUCCCGAGCUGGGUGCACCAUCAGGAUGUUGGGGGGCUGUCAAACAGAGUUGAGAAGUUGUUCAAGGCUACACUUCAUGAAAAAGGUAACUCCUACCCUCUGGGCCUAGGAGAGCACUGAAGAGUCCUUGAGGCUAGUAAAGGGCAGUGGGGAGUCCCCAGGACCGAGAGGGGAAUCACAUCUACUCCAUGAGAGCCAAACCCUACCCGAGGUAGUAGAAACCAAGCACAGGCUGGCUCCCAGCUGUGCCCACCACGAGUUCUGGGGGUGCCGUGAAUGCAAUACCUUUAUGUCCAGGUGGAGGAUACCAUGGCUGUGCAAAUAGUGUAGGCCUUCCACCAGCUGCUGGAUAUAGACUUUGACCUGUGGAAAAUGCCAGGAUCAGUUUGGAACCAGCCCCCAAGAGGCUGGCUCAGGAACCUCCUGAAGGCUGACCCAGGUGAGGAGCCAGCCUCAGGUACCUCCUGAAGACCUGGUCCAAAUGAGGGGCCAGCCUCAGAAAACUCAUGAAGGCCUGACCCAGGUGAGGGGCAAGCAUCAGGUACCUCCUGAAGGCCUGACCCGGGUUGGGGGCCAGCCUCAGGUACCUCCUGAAGGCCUGACCCAGGUGAGGGGCAAGCAUCAGGUACCUCCUGAAGGCCUGACCCGGGUUGGGGGCCAGCCUCAGGUACCUCCUGAAGGCCUGACCCAGGUGAGGGGCCAGCCUCAGGUACCUCCUGAAGGCCUGGCCCAGGUGAGGAGCCAGCCUCAGGUACCUUCUGAAGGCCUGACCCGGGUAAGGGGCCAGCCUCAGGUAUCUCCUGAAGGCCUGAUCCGGAUGAGGGUCCAGCCUCAGGAACCUCCUGAAGGCCUGACCCAGGUGAGGGGCCAGCCUCAGGUACCUCCUGAAGGCCUGACCCAGGUAAGGGGCCAGCCUCAGAUACCUCCUGAAGGCCUAGUCCAAAUGAGGGUCCAGCCUCAGGAACCUCCUGAAGGCCUGACCCAGGUGAGGGGCCAGCCUCAGGAACCUCCUGAAGGCCUGGCCCAGAUGAGGGACCAGCAUCAGGUACCUCCUGAAGGCCUGGCCCUGGUGAGGAGCCAGCCUCAGGUACCUCCUGAAAGCCUGACCCGGGUGAGGGACUAGCCUCAGGUACCUCCUGAAGACCUGGCCCAGGUGAGGGGCCAGCCUCAGCCUCCUCUAUUCCAUAGGAGCUUGCUUCGAUCAUCAAGCCUUCCUCCUCUUAAUUCAGGCCCCAUAGAUCAAGUGACUGACAAAGUCACAGGUCAGGAACUGCAAGCCCCAGGGCUGGGUGUUUCCCAAAGGUGGGCUGAGCCUAAAUAGGCAGGAAGCAUCAGUCUGCUUAAAUGAGGGAGGGGCAGAUAUCACUAGUACAGCUGUUCCCCUAUGGUCAGGACGGGUGGCAGAGGCUGGUUAUACCUGGCUACCUUGGAAGCUACAAGAGACUCAAGUCAAAAGAGGCUGUGUCCAGGGACUGGAAUGUAGGCUCUGACUCUAGGGACACACUCAGGCAAGGAGAAGGUAGAGAUUACCUCGGCUUCAGUCACUACACCCUUCUUGAAGAGCCGAUCCAGCAGCUCCUCAGACGAGCACCUGGGUUUCGUUAAGGAAAAGCUGCACAUGACUCCCCGGGGCCUGUGCUCCCAGAAAGGUACCCAGACCUCCUGUGAGCCAGAUCUAGAGGUGCUGGUAUUCUGAUGAAGGAGAGUGGAAUGAUGACCCUUGGGUCCCAGAUGGGUCACAUCCCUGAGAAAGGGACCUUCAGAAAGACCCUCUGGUGAGUGGGGCUGUGAGCAGCAGCCUAAUGGAACUUGGACACUCUUGCAUCUCUGCACAGAGCCCACUCCACGCAGCCCUUCACCGGGAUCCUAGGACAGUUUCAGGAGUGAAAGGGCAGCCAGAAUGUGAAAUAAGUAAGAGCCCCAAACACGCCCCCAUGGGUGUGACGGAGGCCAAGAGCAGUUGGAAUGGGAGCCCCCUCUCCAAUACCUAAGAGGUCACCUCUGAGAGGGGUCCCAGGCUGUGACCCACAUCUGUGACCCACAUCUGUGACCC
ensembl:antisense